UGGGGAAUUUUGGACAAUGGGCGAAAGCCUGAUCCAGCAAUGCCGCGUGUGUGAAGAAGGCCUUCGGGUUGUAAAGCACUUUUGUCCGGAAAGAAAUCCUUGGCUCUAAUACAGUCGGGGGAUGACGGUACCGGAAGAAUAAGCACCGGCUAACUACGUGCCAGCAGCCGCGGUAAUACGUAGGGUGCAAGCGUUAAUCGGAAUUACUGGGCGUAAAGCGUGCGCAGGCGGUUUGCUAAGACCGAUGUGAAAUCCCCGGGCUCAACCUGGGAACUGCAUUGGUGACUGGCAGGCUAGAGUAUGGCAGAGGGGGGUAGAAUUCCACGUGUAGCAGUGAAAUGCGUAGAGAUGUGGAGGAAUACCGAUGGCGAAGGCAGCCCCCUGGGCCAAUACUGACGCUCAUGCACGAAAGCGCGGGGAGCAAACAGGAUUAGAUACCCUGGUAGUCCACGCCCUAAACGAUGUCAACUAGUUGUUGGGGAUUCAUUCCUUAGUAACGUAGCUAACGCGUGAAGUUGACCGCCUGGGGAGUACGGUCGCAAGAUUAAAACUCAAAGGAAUUGACGGGGUCAUAGCUGUUUCCU
rnacentral:rRNA from 1 species